AUUGAACGCUGGCGGCAGGCCUAACACAUGCAAGUCGAACGCGUGGCGGACGGGUGAGUAAUGUCUGGGAAACUGCCUGAUGGCGGGGGAUAACUACUGGAAACGGUAGCUAAUACCGCAUACCAUCAGAUGGGCCCAGAUGGGAUUAGCUAGUUGGUGGGGUAAAGGCUCACAAAGGCGACGAUCCCUCGCUGGUCUGAUAGGAUGACCAGCCACACUGGAACUGAGACACGGUCCAGACUCAUACGGGAGGCAGCAGUGGGGAAUAUUGCACAAUGGGCGCAAUCCUGAUGCAGCCAUGCCGCGUGUAUGAAGAAGGCCUUAGGGUUGUAAAGUACUUUCAGCGGGGAGGCGUUACCUACAGAAGAAGCACCGGCUAACUCCGUGCCAGCAGCCGCGGUAAUAC
rnacentral:rRNA from 1 species